GGCCCCCUGUGAUGGCAGCACUGGGCGCUGACCCCCCCUGACGACACUGGUGCCCCCCCCGGGGCCUUGACACCCCGGGGGGGUCUGAGGGGGCC